rnacentral:sRNA from 1 species
GGGUACGCGUGAGCGUGCCUACCACAACACAAGGGGCUGCCUGGGUCUCCCUGCCCGGGCAGCCUUUCU